rnacentral:rRNA from 1 species
UACGAAGGGGGCUAGCGUUGUUCGGAAUUACUGGGCGUAAAGCGUGCGCAGGCGGUGAUGUAAGACAGAUGUGAAAUCCCCGGGCCCAACCUGGGAACUGCAUUUGUGACUGCAUCGCUGAAGUGCGGCAGAGGGGGAUGGAAUUCCGCGUGUAGCAGUGAAAUGCGUAGAUAUCUGGAGGAACACCGGUGGCGAAGGCGGCAUCCUGGACCGAUACUGACGCUGAGGAGCGAAAGCCAGGGGAGCAAACGGG